AAUUUUCCCAAUGCUCCUUGUGAGAUUCCUCAGCAGCACCAGUGCACUGACUGUCACUCUGUGUUCUCUUAGGUCCUGUUGAGGUUUUACAGGACCUCGUCCUAGAAGACAUAGAGGACGAUGAGAUGCCCCCUGAUGUGGAGAAGCCUGCGGCCAAGUAUCACCACCGUCCUGUUGAGGUUUUACAGGACCUCGUCCUAGAAGACAUAGAGGACGAAGAGAUGCCCCCUGAUGUGGUAAGAUGGAUUUCUUAGUCUCGAAGAGAAAUAUUUUUUCCUGGGGCCUCUGGAAUAUCAAGUGAAUAUCAUUUUUGACUGCCAUUGUGAAUGAGACGUCAGUUGUCAUGGACUCUAGCGAGCAGUCAGUGGAGUUUCUGACCAACUGAGGCCUGAUUGACGAUGUCAGUCAAAAGAUGGCAUAACUCACAAUCUGGUCGUGGGCAUAUUUCUCAGUAGGAACAUUUUCUUCUUGAAAAAUAAUUUCGUUUUUUUCAGCCAGCAUAGAUACUUGCUAAAUAUUCCAAAACCACUGCAUUUUCUGCAGGCAAUCUCCUGUGCUCCAUUAGGGGCAUGUGGCUUCAUCACUGUUUGAUAUUUGUUU
rnacentral:lncRNA from 13 species